CCUACGGGAGGCAGCAGUAGGGAAUCUUUCACAAUGGGCGAAAGCCUGAUGGAGCAACGCCGCGUGCAGGAUGAAGGCCUUCGGGUUGUAAACUGCUUUUAUAAGCGAGAAAUAUGAUGGUAACUUAUGAAUAAGGAUCGGCUAACUACGUGCCAGCAGCCGCGGUCAUACGUAGGAUGCGAGCAUUAUCCGGAGUGACUGGGUGUAAAGAGUUGCGUAGGUGGCAUAAUAAGUAGCUAGUGAAAACUGGUGGCUCAACCAUUCAGACUAUUAGCUAAACUGUUAAGCUCGAGACCGUUAGGGGUAACUGGAAUUUCUAGUGUAGGAGUGAAAUCCGUAGAUAUUAGAAGGAACACCAAUAGCGUAGGCAGGUUGCUGGGACGGUUCUGACACUAAGGCACGAAAGCGUAGGGAGCAAACGGGAUUAGAUACCCCUGUAGUC
rnacentral:rRNA from 1 species